CUGAAUGGUUAUUGAGUUGAUUAUUGUAUACUAGAGGCCCGAUGCACGAAAUUCACGCAUGGGUAGGGUCUCAAGGCCUGGCUGGCGAUCAGGGCUGAUCUGUGGGGCAACUGGCAGGGCUAUCAGGGGGCCCCCACUGGCACCGCCUGCUUGCCAGCCCUGCCCCCCACCACCGCUGCCACUGCCCGCCUCCCUCUGCAGCCCUUUUGUUUCAGGGCCUGUGAGCUGAGAGCAGCUCCUGCGUUGAGCGUCUGCCCCUGGAGAGCCUCCUUGAGCGGAGGCCAGAGCUGGCUGGAAGCAG